UAAUUGUCUGCACAGAGCCCUUGCCGAAGGAUCGUGUGCCGACGAUGACGGCACGCUUGUGAUCUUGUAAGGCACCGGCAACAAUUUCGGAUGCAGAUGCCGAACCACUGUUAAUCAGCACGACGAUGGGUUUGUUCUUGAGAACAUCGCCUUUGCGGGCGUUGUAACGCUGGAUUUUUUCAUUGUUGCGUGUGCGGGUGGAGACGAUUUCCCCUUUAUCCAUAAAGGCAUCACUGACGGCGAUCGCCUGAUCCAGUAGUCCGCCGGGAUUAUUGCGC
rnacentral:ncRNA from 1 species